rnacentral:lncRNA from 1 species
AGUGUCAGAAACAGGCAGCCUGACUAGAGAACAAACUACCAAUUAACGAGCGAGGAAACAGGGCCAGAGAAUUGGAACAAAAUACAAGGCUGCCUCUGAAAGGAAUAUCUUUGUGCUGAUGUGUCCAUCAAGAGAACAUACACAGAAGUGACACUUGCCAGUAAUUUGCAAGCAGAUGGAACUUCAAUAUGGCAAUAGAGAAAGAAUCAAUUAGACCAGAGUCUCCUCAGGAAGACUUUCUAUAGGUGGACGGUCCCCUGGAGAGCCCGCUGUGUUGGAAGAUGUAGAAUAUUCAUAUAUCUGGUGAGCAUCUGCUAGAUGCCAGGGUUGGGGAGAGUCAAGUUGAAGCAAGCAUGAACCCUCAAGGACCUACCAUUUCAAGGCAAGAAAUAGAUACAAAUACAGUUGAGAGCCAUCUGUGAAGUUAAUUUCAGCACUGUUUACUCUUUCCUCCUAAAUCACUAAUGAAGAUGAAACAUUCAAUGGAAUUGAGCUUUGCACCCCUUUCUGGGAAAUUCCACCGAGGCUUGCUCUUGUUUCAGCGUAAUUAUCUCUCCAAUUAAAGAGCAACCAAGGGACAACUGAACUGGAGGUUCUGCAGAAUUACAACUAAGCACGCAGCCGAGGAAUCUACUCAGCUUUGAUCUCUUAUCGCUCUGCACACACAGCCCUUUCUCUGUAAGGCUAGCUGCUCUCAGCAUCACUGUGUCUAAUCAAACGUGUCACACCUCCACUGAGAAAAUAUUUACUGGAUAGCUACUAGACAUAAGGAUGCAGAAAUGAAUUAGAAAAAUUCCUCGCCCUUGUUCAAAGCUAUGCUGGCUCUUAGAACAUCUGAGCCCCCACUGUUUCAUCUUUAGAGGAUCCCAGCUGCUGGGGUGUGAGGCCAGUGCUGGAGCCAGCAGUCUCUGACCCAGAAGGGACCUGAGGUGCUAAAGAAAAGGGUACAAGCUGGAAAAGGGGAAAAUGAAUCAUGCUACAGGCCAAGUGUCCAUCACUGAUUCCCAGAGAUGCCCUUUGUGUGGUAGGCACUUCCAUGUGGACUCGCUACAGAGGUCAUAAGACCCUAAUUCCAGAGGGCCCUACCCUAUAACCAGAAGGAAGAACUAUUGCACAGAGAAUCUAAGAAGAAUCUAGACAGACAGCCCUUGCUGGAUUUCUCCACUCUGUUAGCAUUCGAUCAUUUGCCUUUUGUCCAGUCAUAUUUCUGCAUGGCUGUCCAUACUUUGUUGAACCUAAGCACAAAAUGGAAAGUUUUCCCUGUAUCUUUGGGUCGUCAUUCUGAAGGCUCCCAUGUUAUGUAAAACUAUGAUCAAAUAAAUAUGCAUGCCUUUUCUCCUAU